rnacentral:rRNA from 1 species
GUCGGUAAAACUCGUGCCAGCCACCGCGGUUAUACGAGUAACUCACAUUAAUACUUCACGGCGUAAAGGGUGAUUAAAAGUUUCUAAAAGGUACUAAAGCUAUAACCUUAUAAAGCUGUCAUACGCACCCAUAAAAGGAAUAAUACAUUGACGAAAGUAACUUUAACCCAAUAGAGCUUUUGAACUCACGACAGUUAAGACACAAACUGGGAUUAGAUACCCCACUAUG